UAAGCGGAGGAAAAGAAACCAACAGGGAUUGCCCCAGUAACGGCGAGUGAAGCGGCAACAGCUCAAAUUUGAAAUCUGGCCCCCAGGGUCCGAGUUGUAAUUUGCAGAGGAUGCUUUUGGCGAGGUGCCUUCCGAGUUCCCUGGAACGGGACGCCAUAGAGGGUGAGAGCCCCGUCUGGUUGGAUACCGAGCCUCUGUAAAGCUCCUUCGACGAGUCGAGUAGUUUGGGAAUGCUGCUCUAAAUGGGAGGUAUAUGUCUUCUAAAGCUAAAUAUUGGCCAGAGACCGAUAGCGCACAAGUAGAGUGAUCGAAAGAUGAAAAGCACUUUGAAAAGAGGGUUAAAUAGUACGUGAAAUUGUUGAAAGGGAAGCGCUUGUGACCAGACUUGGGCCCGGUGAAUCAUCCAGCGUUCUCGCUGGUGCACUUUGCCGGGCUCAGGCCAGCAUCAGUUUGCUUCGGGGGAUAAAGGCUUUGGGAAUGUGGCUCCUCCGGGAGUGUUAUAGCCCAUUGCAUAAUACCCUGAGGCGGACUGAGGUUCGCGCCUUCGGGCAAGGAUGCUGGCGUAAUGGUCAUCAGCGACCCGUCUU
rnacentral:rRNA from 1 species